UUUUUUGUAGAGACGGGGUUUCACCAUGUUAGCCAGGAUGGCCUCGACCUCCUGACCUUGUGAUCCGCCUGCCUUGGCCUCCCAAAGUGCUGGGACUACGGGCGUGAGCCACUGCACCCGGCCCCAUCUCUUUUUUUGAAUGACUCUGGAAGAUUCAGGCCAUUUCAUCCUGGUUUAAAACAUACUCCUCUUCUUCAUCGGUGGUAAAGAGAUUCAACCGGAAUCCGGGCUCAGGGCCACUGGGUUUCUUAAUCUCCAUCCCUCCCAUCAGCCUGGCCAAGAAAUUCAGCUCUUCUUUAGCAAGAGGGUUUGGAGCAAUGCUUUCCUGCAGAAACAGUUGCAUGAUUUUUAGCCACAUGAAGGCAAUCACAUUUCCUGCUAAAACCUCAGAGACACAGGUAGGUAUUAUAAAAUAAGGUAGAACAAUUGCUAUUUAAAUUAUUUCUGGGUCCAAAUAAAGUGUAGAAAGCAGCCUUAACCAAAAGAAAAACAAUCACGUCAGUAGCAGAGGGAAUGUAGCAACUUUGCAAACCAGAGAUUUUCAUACUUUCCGCAAGAGUGGAAGCCCCAGGGAUCCACGUUUCUCCUCUCACUACCUUCCUCCUUGAAGAAGUGUAUGGCUUCCUUUCCUGUCAAUCGGUUUCCCUCAGCAUUUACAAGUCGCCUCAGUCCAGUCUCCUUCCAGAGGCGCUGCCACACUGCCCUCAGGUGGUGACGGCCGGGAACACACCCUCGAGUCCAUUCCCUCCUCUCACAGUCCUCAUCCUGCCUCAUCCUGUACCCCUCUUCCUUGUAGCCUGGCCUCCCCUGUUCUGCCUCUCCCCUCACUCCACCACCAGUUACCUAAAUGCAGUUUUUGUCUCAUUUCUCCCUGGCUUGAAACAAAGCCCUCUGCCUCCUGUCGAAAGAACAAAGCCCAAAUUGUUUACCACCCUUCCUGGUCAGGCCCCAGGGUCCUGUCCAGGCGAGUCUCUGCCAGCAAGCCUCCAUGAUACUGUGAUCCGUUACGUAAGCCUCGUGGGAGACACCGCCAUCCUCCUCCCGGGAACACUCUUGCCCCUCUGUCACCUUGGUCCGUGUGCCCAUUUCUCCCUCUCUGCUGUUUCAUAGUUUACCUACUCUAGAGCCCCACUUCAAUAUCCCCGCCUCUGAAAUGCCUUCUUGAUCCCUGUGAUCCCUGUCCACUGGACAGACAUGAAUUCCUCUGGCACAGCACUUUGUGCAGGAUCCCCAGCCAGCCCUUCCUCCACCUCAUUUGAGUUGUUUCUUUCACCGUCUUUCCCAGGGUACCACAGGCCCCUUCAAGAUGGGACCACAUCUACGUCAGCUUCGUGUCCCUGGGUCCCCAGCCCAUAGAAGCAGUUUAAUAAAUGUUUGCUGAAUAAUUUAAUAUUCUGUGAUCUCUCCUACAGCUAGCUGGGAGCUAGUUCAGCGAAAACUUCUAAGGAUGGAAUUCAGAGAAACUAAAACCCCCCACUCUGACUUAGCUACCACGGUGCUAUAGAGGGAAACAUUAAAAAGAAAUGUUUUAAUGAUCAGAAUACACACGAGUGCUGAUGUCAGCAAUCACGGACCUAAUGGCACUGGUACUACGCUACUGCAUAUGUCCUGGUGUGUGGUUCCUCUUAAUUAUGGUGGCCGAGCCAAGCCUAAAAUUACCUAAUUAGUGAGAUCACUGGAAGUCUCCAUGAAAAGCUACAAUUAAAACCUGUGUACUCGUAAGGUGGAAUGGAGAAGAUUGCACACAACAGGGGAAAUG
rnacentral:lncRNA from 1 species